rnacentral:lncRNA from 1 species
AACAGCUGCACGUGGCCUCAUGCGCAGACACACGCAUAUGCGAUCAUACGCACCAUCCAUCGCAUUACGUGCAUGAUGGAUGGCUGCAUGUGGCCGUAUGCACAUAUAUAUGUGGUCUUGUAUGCAUGAUGGACGGUGCUUAUAAUAUACAUGCCAUAUAGGUGCACUGCAGAGGAUCCGUAUGCGUCUAUAACAUAAUGUUCAUGAUUGAGUAAUGUAUCUAUAACGUCCUGGUCGGUGAGCUGCUGCACCACAAACAAACCAAUGGUUCAGAAAUAUUUUUAAAAGAAACAAAGGAACGGCAGGAGAUUACACUAUUAAAAUAUACAAGGCAAGUAACAAGCUAUAAUUGUUUCAUCAGUAAUGGCUACUUGCAGGUGGUGCAACAGGCCAGUAACCAAGAACUUUGCAGAAUAGCAUGUACCACCCCAGUUAGAGGACAUGCACUUGUUUGAUUCUGAAAGCUAGAGUCUGAGGAAUGAAAGGAUGAGAGAGAGGCCCCCCAAAUUCAACACUCGCUGAUUUUACAAAAAGGAGUACG